AUGAUACGUUUGCUGCGGUCGAGUGAUGGUGGCUGGUACAUAAGCGAGCACAGGCCAUCACACAACCACUCCCUUACAUAUAAGUGUGGGGAAAAUGUACACUGGCCUUCGCACAUGCAUAUCGAUAUAUAUACAAUUGAUCUUGUCAAUCAGCCCCGAGAGAAUAAUGUUAGCAUCGGUAAACUGUACAACAUAAUUGGUAGUUUCUUUGGUUCGAUGAGCAAAGUGCCUUUCACCAAAUAG
rnacentral:rRNA from 1 species